AGCAGCGCAUGAGGGAGGAGGAGGAGAGGUAGAUGAGGGGGUGAGGGAGGGAGAGAGAGAUAGACCUCCGUCUUACCACGAUGCGUUUUUCUUCCCGGUGUUGAUCGUACACGGAGAGGAGAGUUGCCAUGGCGGAGAUGAUGUGAUGGACAUAAUAGUAAACUAACAGAAAACAAAAGGGAUUAAAUAAGAGAUCAAAUUUAAAUAGAUUGAUUGUCAUAGUCUGACAGUGGAAAGAAGGGAUAUUGUAGUACAGGACAAGAAAGAGGGGGAUGUUGGAGAGAGAGAGGUCUGAUAAUAUGACAGAGAGAGAGGUCUGAUAAUAUGACAGAGAGAGAGAGGUCUGAUAAUAUGACAGAGAGAGAGGUCUGAUAAUAUGACAGAGAGAGAGGUCUGAUAAUAUGACAGAGAGAGAGAGGUCUGAUAAUAUGACAGAGAGAGAGAGAGGUCUGAUAAUAUGACAGAGAGAGAGGUCUGAUAAUAUGACAGAGAGAGAGAGGUCUGAUAAUAUGACAGAGAGAGAGAGAGGUCUGAUAAUAUGACAGAGAUAGAGACAGGUCUGAUAAUAUGACAGAGAUAGAGGUCUGAUAAUAUGACAGAGAGAGAGAGGUCUGAUAAUAUGACAGAGAGAGGUCUGAUAAUAUGACAGAGAGAGAGGUCUGAUAAUAUGACAGAGAGAGAGAGAGGUCUGAUAAUAUGACAGAGAGAGGUCUGAUAAUAUGACAGAGAGAGAGAGGUCUGAUAAUAUGACAGAGAGAGAGAGGUCUGAUAAUAUGACAGAGAGAGAGAGAGGUCUGAUAAUAUGACAGAGAGAGAGAGGUCUGAUAAUAUGACAGAGAGAGAGGUCUGAUAAUAUGACAGAGAGAGAGAGGUCUGAUAAUAUGACAGAGAGAGAGGUCUGAUAAUAUGACAGAGAGAGAGAGGUCUGAUAAUAUGACAGAGAGAGAGAGGUCUGAUAAUAUGACAGAGAGAGAGAGGUCUGAUAAUAUGACAGAGAGAGAGGUCUGAUAAUAUGACAGAGAGAGAGAGAGGUCUGAUAAUAUGACAGAGAGAGAGGUCUGAUAAUAUGACAGAGAUAGAGAGAGGUCUGAUAAUAUGACAGAGAGAGAGAGAGGUCUGAUAAUAUGACAGAGAGAGAGAGAGGUCUGAUAAUAUGACAGAGAGAGAGGUCUGAUAAUAUGACAGAGAGAGAGAGAGGUCUGAUAAUAUGACAGAGAGAGAGAGGUCUGAUAAUAUGACAGAGAUAGAGAGAGGUCUGAUAAUAUGACAGAGAGAGAGAGAGGUCUGAUAAUAUGACAGAGAGAGAGAGGUCUGAUAAUAUGACAGAGAGAGAGAGGUCUGAUAAUAUGACAGAGAGAGAGAGAGGUCUGAUAAUAUGACAGAGAGAGAGAGAGGUCUGAUAAUAUGACAGAGAUAGAGAGAGGUCUGAUAAUAUGACAGAGAGAGAGAGAGGUCUGAUAAUAUGACAGAGAGAGAGAGGUCUGAUAAUAUGACAGACAGAGAGAGGUCUGAUAAUAUGACAGAGAGAGAGAGAGGUCUGAUAAUAUGACAGAGAGAGAGGUCUGAUAAUAUGACAGAGAGAGAGAGAGGUCUGAUAAUAUGACAGACAGAGAGAGAGGUCUGAUAAUAUGACAGAGAUAGAGAGAGGUCUGAUAAUAUGACAGACAGAGA